CCAAUAGCGUAUAUUAAAGUUGUUGCAGUUAAAAAGCUCGUAGUUGAAUUUCGGGAUCAAUUGAUUGGUCAUGCCUUGGUAUGUACUGGUCAUAUUGGUUCUCACCUUCUAAUGAACCAUAAUGUCAUUUAUUUGAUGUUAUGGGGAAUUAGGACUGUUACCUUGAAAAAAUUAGAGUGUUUAAAGCAGGCUUACGCUUGAAUACAUUAGCAUGGAAUAAUGAAAUAGGACAUCGCAUUCUAUUUUGUUGGUUUCUAGGAUCGAUGUAAUGAUUAACAGGGAUAGUUGGGGGCAUUAGUAUUCAAUUGUCAGAGGUGAAAUUCUUGGAUUUAUUGAAGACUAACUACUGCGAAAGCAUUUGCCAAGGAUGUUUUCAUUAAUCAAGAACGAAAGUUAGGGGAUCGAAGACGAUCAGAUACCGUCGUAGUCUUAACCAUAAACUAUGCCGACUAGGGAUCGGAUGAUGUUAAUUUUUAAAUGACUCAUUCGGCACCUUACG
rnacentral:rRNA from 1 species